rnacentral:rRNA from 1 species
CCUACGGGAGGCAGCAGGGAGGAAUAGUGGGCAAUGGACGAGAGUCUGAACCAGCCAAGUAGCGGGAAGGAUGACAGCCCAAUGGGUUGUAAACUUCAGUUAUAAAGGAAUAAAACGAGGCACGUGUGCCUUUUUGCAUGUACUUUAUGAAUAAGGAUCGGCUAACUCCGUGCCAGCAGCCGCGGUAAUACGGAGGAUCCGAGCGUUAUCCGGAUUGAUUGGGUUUAAAGGGAGCGUAGAUGGGUGGUUAAGUCCGUUGUGCAAGUUUGCGGCUCAACCGUCAAAUUGCAUUUGAUACUGGCAGUCUUGAGUACAGUUGAGGUAGGCGGAAUUCGUGGUGUAGCGGUGAAAUGCUUAGAUAUCACGAAGAACCCCGAUUGCGAAGGCAGCUUACUAGACUGUGACUGACAUUGAUGCUCGAAAGUGUGGGUAUCAAACAGGAUUAGCUACCCCAGUAGUC